AGGAUCAUAGUUAAUUAUAACAUUUAGUUUGCAUCUAAAAAGUAUUGAUUAUAUCAAUUUUUCUUA
rnacentral:tRNA from 1 species